rnacentral:rRNA from 1 species
CCUACGGGAGGCAGCAGUGAGGAAUAUUGGUCAAUGGGCGAGAGCCUGAACCAGCCAAGUCGCGUGAAGGAUGACGGCCCUACGGGUUGUAAACUUCUUUUGUCAGGGAGCAUUUGGGUCCCCGCGUGGGCUUAGCGAGAGUACCUGAAGAAAAAGCAUCGGAUAACUCCGUGCCAGGAGCCGCGGUAAGACGGAGGAUGCGCGCGUUAGUCGGAUUUAGUGGGUUUAAAGGGUGCGUAGGCGGAAUAUCAAGUCAGCGGUAAAAAUUCGGGGCUCAACCCCGUCGUGCCGUUGAAACUGAUGUUCUUGAGUGGGCGUGAAGUAUGCGGAAUGCGUGGUGUAGCGGUGAAAUGCAUAGAUAUCACACAGAACUCCGAUUGCGAAGGCAGCAUACCGGCGCCCAACUGACGCUGAAGCACGAAAGCGUGGGUAUCGAACAGGAUUAGAUACCCGAGUAGUC